CUCGCAGCGAACAAUCUAGCCAGGCACUUGGUGCCGCUCUAUGGUUCCGGGGCGACACUCUACACGCACAUCCGCCUCCUCUCUAUGCUCCAAACGCGAGACUGGUCCCCAGGGAGCAGCGGGGCGGGAACAAGGACGGCGGAACCCGCCCACUCCAAUGACUGACACCCACGAUGACCAAUCAGGACAAGACAAAGCUUUGCGGCUGGGCCCCGGUUGGCCAAUCAGGGGCCUCCCUGCUGGGAAGCGCCAGGAGGGACCCGUGGGGCUGCCGUUGGAACCAGAGGCCAUGGAGCAGACCCAGCUGCUGGAGUGGGAGGAGGACGGGGACCCCCCCGGGGGAGAGGCCGACAGGGAAGCGCCUCAGCCCGUGGGGCGGCUGCACCUGCUCAGCAGCAAAUAUGGGCCGGAGCAAGAUUUCUGGAUCUACCCCGGGGAGAACGUGGUGGGGCGGCUGCCGGGCUGCCAGGUCUGCUUGCCGGCCCCCUCAGUCUCCAAGGCCCACGCGGUGAUUGAGGUCCCAGCACCGGGCGGGCCCCACCUGCUCUAUGACCGGGGCAGCCUGAACCGGACCCGGCGCCAGCGAGGCGUCCUGCUACCCCAGGUCCGCUACAGCCUAGAGGAUGGAGACACCCUCAUGUUUGGGGACGUGGGCUGCCAGUACUUCCUGCUGCCACCAGGGAGCGCCGACCCCGAGGACUCUCUGGAGGUGCCGCCCACCCAGCCCCGGGCCCCCAACACCCUGGCCAUCGAGGAGACCCCCGCACCCAGCAAGAGGAUGGGCUACGGGCCCCUGCUGGCCAGGGACUCUGAGGAUGAGGAGGAGCUGCAGGGUGGAGGAAGGCUCCUGCACCUGCUAGGGAGCAAUGGUUCUGCCUCCUCCUCUGACGCUGGCGUCCAUUCCCACGCAGCCUCCUCCUCCCCGGGUGCAACCGUGGUGCCGGAAAGCGACGAGGAAGGUGGCGAGACCCCUGACGCCCCCUGCCCCUCCCUGCGCCUGAGCUAUGGCAGCGAGCGGACCCUCGGCCCGCCGGAGAACGGAGUCACUGCCCUGGGUACCGAGCAGCCCAGGGCCACAGGGGUGGUUGGGACAGACCCGGAGCCCAUGUUGGCCGCCUGCCGCUUCGUCAAGGGUCCUGGCCACAUGGGCAUUGCCUCGGGCGCGGGGCCGGGAGCAGCUGUCAGGGGCCUGGGGAACGGUUGCCCCGUUGAGGUGGGCAGCAUUACAGAUGUGGAGGAGGUAGUACAGCAUCCAGAUGUUGUGCAGAAGAACCGUGGACCUGCUCUCCUGGGGGACAGCGAUACAGAUGAUGAUGUGGAUCCAAAGUGCCACCCAUCUGCCAUUGAGAUGGACAGUGAUACAGAUGUGGAGGAGGAGGCACGGAAUCCAGAUGUGCAUCCAAAGGACCAUCAGCUUGCUGGAAAUGGGGACUGUGAUACAGAUGUGGAGGCACCACUGGAGAAUCCAGAUGUGCAAGGAAUGAAGAACCAGCCUGCUGCCCCUGGGGACAGCGAUACAGAUGUGGAGGGGGCUGGAGUGAAUCCAGAUGUUGUGGGUCCAAAGAGCUAUCAGCCCAGCUUUGAGGUGGACAGCGAUACAGAUGUGGAGGAGGCGGCGGCGGCGGCAGCAAAUAAUCCAGAUCUGCGGAAGAACCAUCGACAUCCUCUCCCUAGGGGCAGCGCCACAGAUGUGGAGGGGGAAGUAGAGAAUCCAGAUGAUGUGCAUCCUGAGAGCCACCACUCUGCCAAAAAUGGGGAGAGUGAUACAGAUGUGGAGGAGGUUGCAGAGAAUCCAGAUGUUGUACAGAAGAGCCAUCAGCCCGCUGUUGAGGUGGGUAGUGAUACAGAUGUGGAGGAGGAGAAAGAGACUCCAGUGGUAGUACAGAACAACCAUCAACUUGUUUCCCCAGGGGGCGGAGAUGCAGAUGUGGCGUGGGUGGUGGGAAAACCAAAUGUGCGACAAACGAACAAUGAGCUUGCUGCCCCUGAGGAUAGUGAUACAGAUGUGGAGGAAUCUGAUAGAAAUCCAGAUGUUGUCACUGCAAAGAGCCAUCCCCUUGCUGUUGACAUGGGCAGUGAUACAGAUGUGGAGGAGACUGGGAAUCCAGAUGUGAGUACAAAGAGCCAUCCACUCGCCAUUGAUGUGGGCAGUGAUACCGAUGUGGAGGAAGAGGAGGCAAAGAAUCCAGAUGUUGUAAUGAAGAAUGAUCAACAUGCUCUCCCUGGAGACAGAGAUCCAGAUGUGACAGGGACAGUGGGGAAACCAGAUGUGCAUCCUAAGGGCCAUCAUUUUGCAGAAAAUGAGGACAGCAAUACAGAUGUGGAGGAGUCUGUGGGGAAUCCAGAUGUUGUACAGAGGAGCCAUCAGCCUACUCUGGAGGCAGGUGACGAUACAGAUGUGGAAGAGGCUGAGGAGAAAUCAGAUGCUGGAAGACGAAACGACCCUCUGUCUGUCGCCACUGGGGACAGCGAUACAGAUGUGGAGGAGAAUCCAGAUGUUGGCCAACAGACUCUUCACUGGCCCAGUGGAGACAGCGACACAGAUGUGGAGGGGGCUCCCGGGGCAGAGUUCGACCAGACGCCAGGUCCUGUGGGGGGCCCAGUCCAGGCGGGUGUGGAGCAGCCACCAGCUGCCCAGUCCUAUGUCAGCCCAGAGACCAAGUUGAUGGACACGGAGGGGAACAAGGAUCCAGCGUGGGGCCCAGGCCAGCCUGGAGACGACAACGAGACAGACGUGGAGGAUGACGCUGAUUUUGCCCUGCAGGCCACGCAGUGCUACCUGGCUGAGGAGACCCCGUCCUCAGGGGCUGAGGCCGCCAGAGCCCCCACGGCAGCAGAUUCGGGGAGCAGCCUAGAGGAGGAAGCCACCCAGACAUUUGUCUUCAGAUCGCCCCUGCCUGCACAAGGGUCCGUGAUGUCACCCCCUGCUGGACCAGCCCUGCAUGCGCCAGUCUGUACCUCUUCAGAGAAGGAGGAGGACUCGGACGAGGAUCUGUGUGUUGUGGAAGUGACUCAGUCGUUCUGCAAGGACCCCGGGCCCCACUCGGACCAGCCCACACAGCCCUUCCUCCCCAAGGAGGACACCCAGCUGCUGCCCCGUCCCCCGCCACUGGGGGGAGUCCUGUCUCGGGAGCUGGCGCAGCCCGAAGUACCCGGCCUGGCCUCUGGGAGGCUGCUGCCCCUUGGCCCCAAGGAGGAGUCAGAGCCCCCUGGCGGGGCAGUGCCAGCAGGGGGCGCCAGGAGGGAGCCACCGGAGGAGGAGGAAUCCCAGCCCGUGCGUCUAGUGCUGAGCGCUCCCCGCAGGCCAGCCCUGGUACUGCAGGGCGAGGGCAGGCGGGCAGGAGCAGAGCCCAGGGGCAGCAGCUCUGGGCAGCGCCUGAGAGGGCAGGGUGGCCCGGAGGCUGCGGAGAGACGGGAGACCCCAGCAGUUGUUGGGGUCACGGGGGCCGGGCCCCACCCCAUGGGGGCACAGCCUGAGGAUGCUGGGAAGGUUCCAGAGGCUCAUUCCAGUCCCUCCAUCCCCAUGAGGCGCCGGAGCCUGCGAUCUGCUCUGGUUCCCGCUCCCCCACCACCAGCCCCUGCCCCGGAGAGGCGGAGCCGGCGGGGUGGGGCGGAGAAGUCCGUGGGGUCCGAAGAACGCAGCCAGUCCGUCCCGGCCGCCCCCCAGCGUAGGGGGAGGCGCCAGCUUUGCAGCACAUCCAUGUACGUGGAGGCGCCGGAGCCGGGGAGUGUCGAGGAGGUGGAGCAGCCUGGCCCUCUGAAGAGGCCCAGGAGGGCUGUGCGGACUCAGGAGGACCCCCACACAGAGCCAGAGGCCUCGAGCCAGGGGGCUCCAGGCCGGGCCCGGAGAUCUCGGGUGGCUGCUGGCGCAGAACCGGCUGCAGCCAGCGAGCCCCGGAGGGGAUCAAGGGGAGCAGAGCAGGAGGCUUUGCAGGGCCAAGCCCGGCGGUCCCAGAGAGCCCCUGUCCAGGAGCCAGCCCCCAGGAGGAGGGGUGCUGCAGAGCCAGCCAGGGAGACCCAAGGCAAGCGGAGAGGGGUGGCCACCCUGGAUCUGCCUCCGGCACAGGGCGAGGGACGAGUGGGCAGUGCCGUAGCCCAAGAGGAUGCUGGGAGUGACGCCAGAAAGAGGCAGGAGGUGCCGGUCGCCCCACUGCGGCGCCAGAGCACGGAGAACAAGGUGGAGGGGCUGCGGACCAGGGCCCCUCGCCGAUCCCAGGGGGCAGCCGGUGGCUUGGCCUCCCCCAGGGUGCUGUUCACGGGGGUGAUCGACGAGGCGGGCGAGCGGGUGGUCUCGGCGCUGGGCGGGGCGCUGGCCCGGUCGGUCUUCGACUGCACCCACCUGGUGACGGACCGGGUGCGCCGUACGGUGAAGUUCCUGUGCGCCCUGGCCCGCGGGGUGCCCAUCGUCACGCUGGACUGGCUGGACAAGAGCGGGCGCAGCGCCUGCUUCCUGUCACCCAGCGGCUUCCUGGUGCGGGACGCAGAGCAGGAGCGAAACUUUCACUUCAGCCUGGCCCAGUCGCUGCAGCGAGCGCGCAGGGGACCCCUGCUGCAGGUGAGACCCCCCUGUCCACUCGUCCGACCCCCCUGUGCCAUGCGGGAGGCCCUGCUGCAGGUGAGAGCCCCCCGUCCACUCGUCUGACCCCCCUGUGCCAUGCGGGAGGCCCUGCUGCAGGUGAGAGCCCCCCGUCCGCUCGUCUGACCCCCCUGUGCCAUGCGGGAGGCCCUGCUGCAGGUGAGACCCCCCCCGUCCACUCAUCUGACCCCCCGUGCCAUGCGGGAGGCCCUGCUGCAGGUAAGAGCCCCUCAUCCACUCGUCUGACCCCACUGACACUCCCCUGCACCAUGGGGGGGGCCCUGCUCUUGCGACCCCUGCUCCCCCACACUGCCCACCACGCAGGGGGGCCCGGCUGCAGGUUAAACCCCACUGGCUCCCCCCAGCAUCCACCCCCCACUGGCCUGUCGCAGGUGAGACCCUCUGAACCCACUCACCCCCCACCAAUCCCCUCCCCACCAUCCACCACGCUGUGGGGGUGGGGGGCGGGGCAGCUGCAGGUGCAUCCAGACUGAUCCUCCCCCCACACCCAGGUGGGCCCGUCUGGGCAGGAUGCCGCCUGCAGCUGGCCCUGUCACGAGCUCCUCACCCUUGAGGUCUGAGCUGUGGAUACCUGGUCCCUGGGCUUAGCUGCCUGCUCUGCCCCUUCCCUCCUGGGAGCAGGGGGUGGGUCAGUCACAGCCGCGUCCCCCUCCCCAGGGCUACGAGAUCCACGUCACCCCCAA